CGGACGGGUGAGUAAUGUCUGGGAAACUGCCUGAUGGAGGGGGAUAACUACUGGUAAACGGUAGCUAAUACCGCAUAACGUCGCAAGACCAAAGAGGGGGACCUUCGGGCCUCUUGCCAUCGGAUGUGCCCAGAUGGGAUUAGCUAGUAGGUGGGGUAACGGCUCACCUAGGCGACGAUCCCUAGCUGGUCUGAGAGGAUGACCAGCCACACUGGAACUGAGACACGGUCCAG
rnacentral:rRNA from 1 species